AGCUUUGCGCAGUGGCAGUAUUGUAGCCAAUGAGGUCUAUCCAAGGCGCGAUUAUUGCUAACUGAAAACUUUUCCCAAAAAAA
rnacentral:snRNA from 1 species